UCAUAUUGGUCAUUACAUUAUUUGGUUGAAAGUUAAUAUGCUGAAAUCUGAAAAAUUUUCAGAAAUAGUGGAGUAAUUUUUUUUUUCCCAUUAUGUAGUAUGGAUUCAGAAUAUGUGCAGAUAGUGGACGAAAAUAAUAAUUGUGAGAUACAACAGCCUGAUAAUAUUCAAACUACUGUUAAACAAGAAAGGGUUAGUGAUUGUCACGCCCCGAGCCCGAGCCCGAUCCCUUUUAGCCGGUUCGAGAGCGUCAAACAGACGCCGAACGGACAGAGCUUCCCCUGUCCGCCC
rnacentral:lncRNA from 1 species